ACUCUGCUAAGAGCGGAUCUCAAGUUUGUAGAGGGGGUGAACGCAAGGUUGUCUAGGUUUCACAUGCUAGGAUGCCGUCCACACUAGUCAGUCACACAACCUUGAGAUCGGUGGGAGAAAAGUUUGGACCAGGAGGUCAGCGCGUAGCGGGGGAAGCCCCAGCCGCGAGGGUGUGGUCUGUCGAUCAGGUCAGACAGCCCACAAGAAUAAGUAAGAGCUCGGGUAAGAAAGCAAGAAGGUAGUAAGUAC
rnacentral:lncRNA from 1 species